AGAGUUUGAUCAUGGCUCAGAGUGAACGCUGGCGGCAGGGCCUAACACAUGCAAGUCGAGCGGCAGCGCGGGGGCAACCCUGGCGGCGAGCGGCGGACGGGUGAGGAAUACAUCGGAAUCUGCCUUGUUGUGGGGGAUAACGUAGGGAAACUUACGUUAAUACCGCAUGAGACCGUAAGGUGAAAGUGGGGGAUCGCAAGACCUCACGCGACAAGAUGAGCCGAUGUCGGAUUAGCUAGUUGGUGAGGUAAAGGCUCACCAAGGCAACGAUCCGUAGCUGGUCUGAGAGGAUGAUCAGCCACACUGGGACUGAGACACGGCCCAGACUCCUACGGGAGGCAGCAGUGGGGAAUAUUGGACAAUGGGCGCAAGCCUGAUCCAGCCAUGCCGCGUGUGUGAAGAAGGCCUUCGGGUUGUAAAGCACUUUUGUUGGGAAAGAAAUCCUGUCGAUUAAUACUCGGCGGGGAUGACGGUACCCAAAGAAUAAGCACCGGCUAACUUCGUG
rnacentral:rRNA from 1 species